CGGGUGAGUAACGCGUAAUCAACCUGCCUCAGAGGGGGGACGAACAGUUGGAAACGACUGCUAAUACCGCAUAAGCCCACGGCUCGGCAUCGAGCAGAGGGAAAAGGAGUGAUCCGCUUUGAGAUGGCCUCGCGUCCGAUUAGCUAGUUGGUGAGGUAACGGCCCACCAAGGCGACGAUCGGUAGCCGGACUGAGAGGUUGAACGGCCACAUUGGGACUGAGACACGGCCCAG
rnacentral:rRNA from 1 species